rnacentral:rRNA from 1 species
GAUGAACGCUGGCGGCGUGCUUAACACAUGCAAGUCGAACGGGGUAUCCGCAAGGGUAUCUAGUGGCGAAUGGGUGAGCAACACGUAGGGAUCUGCCCUCCAGUGGGGAAUAACGCCGCGAAAGCGGUGCUAAUACCGCACGUGACCGCCUUCGGGCGGGGAAGACUGGGCGAACCGGCGCUGGAGGAGGGACCGUGCGGCCCACUCAGCUAGUUGGUAGGGUAACGGCCUACCAAGGCGACGACGGGUAGGGGGCCGUGAGA